rnacentral:rRNA from 1 species
UACGUAGGGUGCGAGCGUUGUCCGGAAUUAUUGGGCGUAAAGAGCUCGUAGGCGGUGUGUCACGUCGGCCGUGAAAACCUGCAGCUUAACUGUGGGCGUGCGGUCGAUACGGGCAUCACUGGAGUUCGGCAGGGGAGACUGGAAUUCCUGGUGUAGCGGUGAAAUGCGCAGAUAUCAGGAGGAACACCCGUGGCGAAGGCGGCACUCUGGGACGGUACUGACGCUGAGACGCGAAAGCGUGGGGAGCGAACAGG